rnacentral:rRNA from 1 species
AUUGAACGCUGGCGGCAUGCCUUACACAUGCAAGUCGAACGGCAGCACGGGUGCUUGCCCCUGGUGGCGAGUGGCGAACGGGUGAGUAAUACAUCGGAACAUGUCCUGUAGUGGGGGAUAGCCCGGCGAAAGCCGGAUUAAUACCGCAUACGAUCUACGGAUGAAAGCGGGGGACCUUCGGGCCUCGCGCUAUAGGGUUGGCCGAUGGCUGAUUAGCUAGUUGGUGGGGUAAAGGCCUACCAAAGCGACGAUCAGUAGCUGGUCUGAGAGGACGACCAGCCACACUGGGACUGAGACACGGCCCAGACUCCUACGGGAGGCAGCAGUGGGGAAUUUUGGACAAUGGGCGAAAGCCUGAUCCAGCAAUGCCGCGUGUGUGAAGAAGGCCUUCGGGUUGUAAAGCACUUUUGUCCGGAAAGAAAUCCUUGGCUCUAAUACAGUCGGGGGAUGACGGUACCGGAAGAAUAAGCACCGGCUAACUACGUG